CCUACGGGAGGCAGCAGUGGGGAAUAUUGCACAAUGGGGGAAACCCUGAUGCAGCGACGCCGCGUGAGUGAAGAAGUAUUUCGGUACGUAAAGCUCUAUCAGCAGGGAAGAAAAUGACGGUACCUGACUAAGAAGCCCCGGCUAACUACGUGCCAGCAGCCGCGGUAAUACGUAGGGGGCAAGCGUUAUCCGGAUUUACUGGGUGUAAAGGGAGCGUAGACGGCAGCGCAAGUCUGGAGUGAAAUCCCAUGGCUGAACCAUGGAACUGCUUUGGAAACUGUGCAGCUAGAGUGCAGGAGAGGUAAGCGGAAUUCCUAGUGUAGCGGUGAAAUGCGUAGAUAUUAGGAGGAACACCAGUGGCGAAGGCGGCUUACUGGACUGUAACUGACGUUGAGGCUCGAAAGCGUGGGGAGCAAACAGGAUUAGAUACCCUAGUAGUC
rnacentral:rRNA from 1 species